AGACCCGGGUUCGAUUCCCACCUGGGUACAAUGUGUGAAGCCCAUUUCUGGUGUCCCCAGCCGUGAUAUUGCUGGAAUAUUGCUAAAAGCGGCGUAAAACCAUACUCUCCCAUACUCACCCAGUUCUAAUCACAAAUUGACAUAAUAACUUUGGAUCUCAGUGUUGUCCUGUUGAACUUGUCCAGUCAGUGCUAUCUUAACAUCUUUUGAGCACCAACACCAUGCAGCUUAGGCCAUGUAAUGCAAUAAUUCAAGCUGUAAUGUGAAGCUGUGGUGGAACGUAUUCCAGUGUUCAAUUCCUUGCACAUAUCAGCAGAUGAAUCUUGUUCGGUUCUUGUUGGUACUUAUAGGAAUUCUUGCUCUCAGGUAGUUAAGGAUGAUUGGAGUAUUUCUGCUCAUUAUCAUUCAAAAUAGAAUCAUGAUAAGUUUUUGCCCAUUUUCCUAUAAUAGCUUCUCAGAUGUUCAAAAAGUGUUCAGUUUCAACUGUACAUGUAUCAGUGCAAUUUUCAGAUUUGGUUCAUGAACAAAUGAGAUAUUACUCAGGUUGACAUAUCAACAUAUCUGUAGUGUCAUUGUUAAACUUAAAAUAGUUCCUUGUAACAGAUUAUAAGGUAAUAUAUGUAUCCUUGCCAUUAUUUCUCAAUUUUGACUGAUUGAUUUCAACUUCAUUCUAAUUCUCUCUGAACAGAAAAGUGGAACACAUUAGUCAAUUUUGUUUGUUGAUGCUUCAACUUUUAAAGGUUACUUAAACUUGUUAGAGCCAGCUGAAAUGUAAUGUCAGUUUUUAAAGCACAUCUUUUUAUGUAUUCAGAGCCUGUAGGCCAUCCUCCAGUAAUCCUUUAGGAGGCGUUAGAAGCAGAAUGUUUCAUCAGUGUAAUUGGAGCACUCUGUAUUCCAGUAUUUUUCAUCAUGUAUGUACACAAGGAUGUAGACACCAGCAUACUGUUAUUCCCAUGUGCCAUAUAUCAAGCAUUAUUGAGAAGUCCCAGAUACUUGUUGUUGUGUAUGUCAAGUCUCCACAUAAUAAUGCAUAUCAAUAUUGCUACAGUGAGCUUAAUAUAUAGAUACCAGUCUCUAUUUAUACCUUAACACAGACUGCUGUUAAAUUAGUAAUUUGUCUAAUUGAGUUAUUUUUUCCAUUUUCAGUUUGGGUCUAAUUAAUAAUAUAUAUUUUUAUAUUUUAUCACUUCUCAGAUUGUGAGUGAAAAUACGAUGAGAAUCUAGAUGAUUUUAGAGUUUCUAUCCUUUGUAGUUCUGAGGGGUUUGUGUUUCUUCUCAUAGGCAUGCCAGAAACUUAUGGUCUUGGACGAUGCCAGAAUUUCCCAGAUUAUGUUUCUUAGUUUGUCAGCAACUACCUAUGGUGUUUGUUUUCAUCAAAGGGUAAAUGUCUACGGUCUGCAUUGCGGUGGGGUAGCUUAGUACUUAAAACGUUCAACCAUCAUGCCGAAGACUGGGGUAUGAUUCCCCACAUGGGUACAAUGUGUGAAGCCCAUUUCUGGUGUCCCCCACCGUGAUAUUGCUGGAAUAUUGCUAAAAGAAGCGUAAAACCAUACUCACUCAGUCUAUGGUCUGCAGUACAUGGAGCUGAUCUUGAUACCCCUUAUGUAGUCAGGAAUGAGCAAUCAGUCACAGAUCAUAUGACCUUAAGGAGAUUAAUGAGAAUCCUUUGGAAAUGGAAUUUUAGUAUCUUUGAACAUUUUGUAUCAAAACAUUUGAAUUUGAAGAUUACCAGAGUUGCAUGUUGAUGCUGUGCUCACCUCCAAAUUUCUCUUCAAGUCAUUUUUAUUUGUUUAAUAUGUGAAGUCACUUUAAUAUGUGAAGUUUCCAAGGACCUGGUAAAAGAUAAAGAGAUGCUUCAAGAUUAGCACCAUAGGUCCAUCAUUCAUGUUCAUCGCUUUGACUCCCUCAAGAAGUGCAAUGUAUAUUAGUUAUGUUUCUUUAUGCUCCUUUACCAUGUUGUUGUACAGUUGCAGGUAACACUUGCUGGUAAUGGAUGCAAAUUUUAAACUGUCUUAUCUGCUGUGAUGCAAUGCUAAAUUUGCCGAAUAAAGAUAUUACUGUC
rnacentral:lncRNA from 1 species